rnacentral:rRNA from 1 species
UACGUAGGGUGCAAGCGUUUAAUCGGAAUUACUGGGCGUAAAGCGUGCGCAGGCGGUUUUGUAAGUCUGUCGUGAAAUCCCCGGGCUCAACCUGGGAAUUGCGAUGGAGACUGCAAGGCUAGAAUCUGGCAGAGGGGGGGUAGAAUUCCACGUGUAGCAGUGAAAUGCGUAGAGAUGUGGAGGAACACCGAUGGCGAAGGCAGCCCCCUGGGCCAAUACUGACGCUCAUGCACGAAAAGCGUGGGGAGCAAACAGG